AUUUAAAUAGCUUAAAUGAUAAGAGCAUAGUAUUGAAGAUACUAAGGUAGUUAGAAACUUUUAAAUA
rnacentral:tRNA from 1 species